GACGAACGCUGGCGGCGUGCUUAACACAUGCAAGUCGAACGGAAAGGCCCUGCUUUUGUGGGGUGCUCGAGUGGCGAACGGGUGAGUAACACGUGAGUAACCUGCCCUUGACUUUGGGAUAACUUCAUGAAACUGGGGCUAAUACCGGAUAUGAGCUCCUGCUGCAUGGUGGGGGUUGGAAAGUUUCGGCGGUUGGGGAUGGACUCGCGGCUUAUCAGCUUGUUGGUGGGGUAGUGGCUUACCAAGGCUUUGACGGGUAGCCGGCCUGAGAGGGUGACCGGCCACAUUGGGACUGAGAUACGGCCCAGACUCCUACGGGAGGCAGCAGUGGGGAAUAUUGCACAAUGGGCGGAAGCCUGAUGCAGCCACGCCGCGUGCGGGAUGACGGCCUUCGGGUUGUAAACCGCUUUCGCCUGUGACGAAGCGUGAGUGACGGUAAUGGGUAAAGAAGCACCGGCUAACUACGUG
rnacentral:rRNA from 1 species